GGGGGGGGACACACACAAAGCCAUUGGGAUGAGUGGGGGGGCACAGCACCAUAACCGCCCCCCCCCCAUAUCACAGCACCCCAUAGGGAUGGAGACAAUGGGGAACCCCAUAAGGACAGCCCCAAUGGGGGGACACAAAUGGGACCCCCCCCCAGGAGAAGCACAUUGUGCCAUAGAGACACUCAAAUGAUGCCCCCCCCACCCCAUGGCCAUAAGGGACCCUUUAUCCGCCCCCACCUCCCCCCCCCAACUGACGUCACUGUGCCCUAUAGCGUGGUUGUGGGGUGGGGGGGGGUCGUGGUGCCCCACAAUGGGCCCUUUGUGGAGGGCGGGGGUGGGGGGCACCGUGGGGCAGCGCUGUGGGGUGGAGCUGCCAUGGCCCCAAAUGGACCCUGGGGUGGGGGUGGGCAGAAACAGGCAGCUCCCAGUGCCACCAUACCAGUAUAGCCCAGUAUAUCCCAGUAUGUCCCAGUAUAUCCCAGUAUGUCCCAGUAUAUCCCAGUAUGUCCCAGUAUGUCCCAUUCCAUCCCAUAUAUCCCAUAUAUCUCAUAUACCCCAGUAUAUCCCAGUGCCUCCAUCCCAGUAUAUCCCAGUCCACCCCAGUGCAUCCCAGUGCCACUAUCCCAGUGUAUCCCAGUAUAUCCCAGUAUAUCCCAGCCCAUCCCAGCAUAUCCCAUUGCCACCCUCCCAGCAUAUCCCAGUGCCUCUGUUCCAGUAUAUCCCAUUGCCUCCAUCCCAGUAUAUCCCAGUGUAUCCCAGUACCACCCUCCCAGUAUAUUGCAGUGUAUACCAGUAUAUCUCAUUGCCACCAUCCCAGUAUAUCCCAGUACAUCCCAGUCCAUCCCAGUCCAUCCCAGUCCAUCCCAGUCCAUCCCAGUCCAUCCCAGUCCAUCCCAGUCCAUCCCAGUACAUCCCAGUAUCACCAUCCCAGUAUAUCCCAGUGUAUCCCAGUACCUCCUUCCUAGUGUAUCCCAUUGCCACCACCCCAGUGUAUCCCAGUGUAUCCCAGUACCACUCUCCCAGUAUAUCCUAUUGCCACCACCCCAGUAUAUCCCAGUAU
rnacentral:lncRNA from 1 species